AUGUCACAAAGUGGUGCCCUUUCUGAAGAUGAUAAAAUGACACUUUUUGAUGAAUAUGAAAGUCAUGUUGAAAGUGCUAGACAUCAGAGGGAGCAAUAUAGAAUGCAGUGUGAUUACUCUAAAGUUACAUGUAGUGAAAACAUGAAGUUGAAGGUUCAGAGUCAUGUUCCUUAGAUGCAACCGUCCACUACAGCUGGGACUUUGCACAGCAGGUUCAUAUUCCACACCAUAGCCAACAGGUUGGACCCCUGUAUUUCAAAACUGCCGGAGGAGAUGUGAGGUAUUUGGAGUUUGCUGUGAAGGAUCUGAGAAACAGGUGUUUUGCCUGGGUGAGGCACAUGCUCAGUUCCACUUUGACAAUUGCCAAGGACAACAAAAAUAAUGCCGUUCUUGGUUAUGCUGUGUGGAGAACAUUGACAGGAGGGCAUAAGACAAUCCAAUACUCACUGAUGCUAGCCGGCCACACCAAAUUUUCAUGCGACUGGCAUUUUGGAGUUUGGAAAAACAGAAUGAGAUACAUGGAUGCAGAGACAGUUGA